AACGAACGCUGGCGGCAUGCCUUACACAUGCAAGUCGAACGGCAGCACGGGGGCAACCCUGGUGGCGAGUGGCGAACGGGUGAGUAACAUAUCGGAACAUACCCUAGAGUGGGGGAUAACGUAGCGAAAGUUACGCUAAUACCGCAUACGAUCUAAGGAUGAAAGUGGGGGGAUCUUCGGACCUCAUGCUCAUGGAGUGGCCGAUAUCUGAUUAGCUAGUUGGUGAGGUAAAGGCUCACCAAGGCGACGAUCAGUAGCUGGUUUGAGAGAACGACCAGCCACACUGGAACUGAGACACGGUCCAGACUCCUACGGGAGGCAGCAGUGGGGAAUUUUGGACAAUGGGGGGCAACCCUGAUCCAGCAAUGCCGCGUGUGUGAAGAAGGCCUUCGGUUGUAAGUCGACUUUAGUUCAGGUAACGAAACGGUUAGGAGGUUAAGUA
rnacentral:rRNA from 1 species